CGCUCCGGUGGCCUAGUGAUUAGAAGCGUUCACCUUGGAUGCGGGAGGUCGAGGGUUCAAGCCCCAGCCGAGUGA